rnacentral:tRNA from 1 species
GGACGGUCAGUUUAGAUGGCUGAAACACUGCCGAGGCGCGCCGACGCAGAGAGGCGGGUUCGACUCCCGCACCGUCCA